rnacentral:rRNA from 1 species
GUCUUUUUGGCAAUAAUUUAAAGUCUAGCCUGCCCACUGAUUAAUUAAAUGGCUGCGGUAUUUUGACCGUACAAAGGUAGCAUAAUCAAUAGUUUCUUAAUUAGAAGCUUGUAUGAAUGGUUGGAUAAGAAAAUAGCUGUCUCAAUUUAAAAAAUAGAAUUUUAUUUUUAAGUUAAAAAGCUUAAAUAAAUUUAAAAGACGAGAAGACCCUAUAGAGUUUAAUAAUUAAUUUAAUUUUAAAUUUUUAGUAUUUAAUAUUUUUAUUUAAUUUAAUUAUUUAAUUGGGGUGAUUGAAAAAUUAGAGGAACUUUUUUUUAUUUUUUACAUUAAUUUAUGAGUAAAUGAUCCAUAUUUUAUGAUUAUAAGAUUAAAUUACCUUAGGGAUAACAGCGUAAUUUUUUCUUAGAGUUCUUAUUGAAGAAAAAGAUUGCGACCUCGAUGUUGGAUUAAAGGAAAUUUAUGGUGGAGAAGCUAUAAAAUUAAGUCUGUUCGACUUUUAAAACUUUACAU